AAUGGACGAAAGUCUGACGGAGCGACGCCGCGUGCUGGAUGAAGGCCUUCGGGUUGUAAACAGCUGUCAUAGGGGAGGAAAUUUUGACCGAUCCUAAGAGGAAGCACAGGCUAAGUUCGUGCCAGCAGCCGCGGUAACACGAACUGUGCGAACGUUAUUCGGAAUCACUGGGCUUAAAGGGUGCGUAGGCGGUCUUGUAGGUCAGAUGUGAAAGCCCACGGCUCAACCGUGGAAUUGCGUUUGAAACCACAAGACUUGAGUGAGAUAGAGGUAAGCGGAACUGAUGGUGGAGCGGUGAAAUGCGUUGAUAUCAUUAGGAACACCGGUGGCGAAAGCGGCUUACUGGGUCUCUACUGACGCUGAGGCACGAAAGCUAGGGGAGCGAACGGGAUU
rnacentral:rRNA from 1 species